rnacentral:rRNA from 1 species
GACGAACGCUGGCGGCGUGCUUAACACAUGCAAGUCGAGCGGUAAGGCCCUUUCGGGGGUACGACGAGCGGCGAACGGGUGAGUAACACGUGGGUGACCUGCCCUCAGCUCUGGGAUAAGCCUGGGAAACCGGGUACUAAUACUGGAUAUGACUCCAUGACGCAUGUUGUGGGGUGGAAAGCCUUGUGCGGCUGAGGAUGGGCCCGCGGCCUAUCAGCUUGUUGGUGGGGUGAGG